rnacentral:rRNA from 1 species
UUUUCAGAGAUGAGAAUGUGCCUUCGGGAACCGUGAGACAGGUGCUGCAUGGCUGUCGUCAGCUCGUGUUGUGAAAUGUUGGGUUAAGUCCCGCAACGAGCGCAACCCUUAUCCUUUGUUGCCAGCGGUCCGGCCGGGAACUCAAAGGAGACUGCCAGUGAUAAACUGGAGGAAGGUGGGGAUGACGUCAAGUCAUCAUGGCCCUUACGACCAGGGCUACACACGUGCUACAAUGGCGCAUACAAAGAGAAGCGACCUCGCGAGAGCAAGCGGACCUCAUAAAGUGCGUCGUAGUCCGGAUUGGAGUCUGCAACUCGACUCCAUGAAGUCGGAAUCGCUAGUAAUCGUGGAUCAGAAUGCCACGGUGAAUACGUUCCCGGGCCUUGUACACACCGCCCGUCACACCAUGGGAGUGGGUUGCAAAAGAAGUAGGUAGCUUAACCUUCGGGAGGGCGCUUACCACUUUGUGAUUCAUGACUGGGGUGAAGUCGUAACAAGGUAACCGUAGGGGAACCUGCGGUUGGA